GAUACUCUGAUUACCAUGUAAAGAAUGAUGGAACCGUCGUUGCCUAGCUUGGCUGCCCACGAGUUACAUGUUCAUAUAGCAGCAAUUGCCGAUAGGAUUUACAGGAGUUUGUUAGCCUCGGUUCAGGUUGUUGUUCAACUUAAGUUACAAGAUAAAAUCUACUCUAUCUCUAAGCAACAACCCAAUCCGAGCAUAACAAGAUUUGCAUGGGAUUACAAGUAGGAAAUCUCAACUACUUCUAACAAGCAAGGCUCAAC
rnacentral:lncRNA from 1 species